CGGCGGGAAGGGCCGGGGUGCCAGCCCUACCCUGUAACCCGAAACGGGCUACAUGCGGGGGCCAGACAACCCGGCGGAGCGCCUAGACAACAACCGCAAAAACCAAGGCCACCAGCGAUGAAGACGCGCGGAAACGGAGCGCCGUAGGGGGUGUGGGUAUCCGUAGGGAUGCUCCGCAUCCCCUCACACGCCGAAUCGUGUUAGGCCCGGGAGGGAGCGGCACUAAGGCGUGGCGGUGCGGCCGUUUUGCGGCGCGUCUCAGCCAUAGGGGCCUUGGCUGGUGCGGUUGUUGUCUUUGCCAUCCGCUGGGGGCCGCCG
rnacentral:SRP_RNA from 2 species